AAUCAUCUCUCUCGAUAGGCUCAUCUGCUGUCAAUGAGAUUACAGAGUUGAAGUUGAACCUGAUGACUAUUACCUAUACUGCAGGAACCAGUUCAAAUCCUUGCCUGAAGUCAGAUUAUCUGUCUCUGUCUCAUGCAAGACUACAACAGGGAUAGAGAUUAUACUCAAUCCAUGAGUCUGGGUCCUUGGACAAGAUACUUCACCAACAUUGACCCAGUCCAUCCAUCUGUAAAUGAGUCCUAGUCUUCUCUGGGACCUUGCUGCCAGCCUGCCAAUGCC